UGUGAGAGCCCAUCUAUGAGAGGCCCUGGCAAGCCAUCCUGAACCUACCAUCUUGCAGAGUUUCAGUCUAGUGUGAUUUCUGCGAGGAACAAAUGUUUGAUGAAUGAAUGACAAGAAAGAGGACUGGGGAGAAUUUCUGUGGAGCAUCUUUGGUGACCGCAUGGAAACAAGCCCGGCAUGCAGUGCUCCCACAUUAGAAGUGCAACAGGAGGUACCCUCAAAUAGGACGUGGAAGGACUGAAGUUGGCCAUCUGCCAGCCACUUAUUGCUGCGAAU